GUGGAAUCGGUCGUCGCUCAUCUCCCCACGUUGCAUCCCGUCAUCCCCAUCGAGCGAUCCCCUUCCUCCUGAUUUCUGUCUAGAGGCGGCAUCGAUGCUCCUCGCCUCCUCCAAGAUCUUCCAUCGUAGGUCGUCACCCACGACGGCUUGCCAUCUGCUAUCCCGUGCCCAGAUGUUGGAUGCAUGAUCUCCUCCGUCGGCACAAUCCGUGUAGCCGCAUCCAUCGGCGUUCGUCUCCCCGUACGGUGGCGACCGGAUUGGCCACUGACCAGUGCCUCAUCUCCGUACACGGGAGUGGGGUUUUCUUCUGUUCAAGCUCCCUCCUCGGCUGCUCCGUUCAUCUUCUCUGGAUUUCUCUGGUGAGUCUGCUACAUUCUUUGCCUUCUUUUAUCCCCUUCCUUCACCCUUCUCUGGUCAACUACAUCAGUGGCUGCAAGCCUGCAAGAUGGAGCUGAGUUGGGAGGCUGAGCAAGCAGCAACAGGAGGAAUCAAGGAACAAGGGGGAAAAUGUGAGGGAGGAGGAAACUGGGAUACCUAAGUAAUUUGCUAAUGCGUUUUUAGGCUACCUAUUCCAAUCCCUCAUCGUAUGGUGUACAUUCAGAUUCAGAUAUGAUUGGCUUGAUAUUUAGGAGUCUUUAGAGGCCAAAUCAAGGAAUGCAAAUAACUAUAGAGUUGUACAGGGUUCCUUAAGCCCUCUAUUAAGUUCAACCAUAACUCGAGCUGUCAACUUGCAAGGGUUUUCAUCCUGUCUAUAUGGUCAAAUAUUGCCACUCUGUAACUAAAUGUUGUAAGCCUGUGAGAUAGUUGCCAGACACUUAUAAUCGGUAGGUCAUCCAAGAUACAAGUACAAAGCAAGAGAUAUUCAUCAAAGGGUACACAACAAUUUUGUAGACAAGUGAAAAAUCGUUGGUCAGUUUGAAGGAACAAAUUUCCUCUUGCAAAAUACCUAUUCCUGUCUAGAGGGCCAAUGCACUAUCCUCAGCUCAGGAAAACAUAAUGGAUGAAGCUGUCAAUUGUUCCACUGAGAAACAAACACAAGAUAAGAUAAUAGUGAACAUUCAUACUGCAUUGAUCUCUGCUCUGAGUUCUGAGCAAGAGGUUCUGUGGAGAAAUUGAUGGGCUAGGAUGAGGUGUUGGUCGCAGAUUACAGAGAGGACGACUUUUAUGCUGCGCAUCUACAGUCAUACUGAGCAAAUCCUCUCUUAAGCAGGGCUGCGAUAUUUAGAUUAUGUUCAACAAAGAAAGUUGGUAGGAUCAUGGAGGAAAUGAAUCUUAUGGUUAUUUUUUCAUUGCUUGGUGGUGUUUCAGACAACUCAGUCUGCUGCCAUAUAUCCAUAAAACAAAACGUUCCGACAGGAUCUGUCGAGUGACUGAUGAAUUACGAUGAGGUGUUGUUCAUAGAUAAGAGAGAUGUCUUGUGUGGUACCACUCUGUUGUGCCAUCCUGCCGAGGGACCCAUCUAGCUUUGUCCUCACUCUUAAGCAUGUAUGGGGAAGAAUAUUCUUUCAUGCAGUAAGGCAAGAAAUCAUUCUGUCAUAAGUUAAUACAAUUCUCUUAUGAUUAUGUAGUAUGCACUAGAUCAGAUUCAUGUUCAUGCUCAGUUUUGUGGAUUCAAGUUUGAAGAACACAAACAAUAUGCAGGUGCAUCGUUUUUUAUUUAUUUCCAUAUUGUUCAUGUACAACAUUGUUUAAUUUUAGGAAACACUAACUGCUUCAUGUUGUUCCUACCUCUAUUCUGAAAGAGGUACAGUUUCAGCAGGGAGAUUCAUCUUGCAGGACACAAUUCAUCUUCUUUACCACAGAGAUUCCUUUCUGAUGUAUAUAAUGGUGAAUAGAGAAACUCAUGCAAGAGCAAUACCACCUCAGUUACUGCCAAAAGAUCAGAGAAUCGCCUUUCAAAAGCUGAGCCAGCAUUGCUGCUCUUGAAAAACACAUCUAUUUCUACUAUUUUUGUUUGGUGAUAUUUGUAUCCCAAAACCUAUAUUUAGACUAUAUCAUGGUGUGUAUUUUUGUGCCGUUUUGGUAAUUGAGACAUUUUUUCUCUAUUGGUCAUGAUUUAUGCUACAUAAAAGAGACUGUACAUGGGAGGCCUCUCUAUAUACGAUAUUACUUCUCUUAUUUUGUCAUUAAAAUCAUUAGUACAGUUGUAAGUUACUCCUUGGCAAACUCCAAUGGUUUAUCGGCUUUACAAACACUGUACAACAAACAUUGCAUAAUCUUUAUGAUCUUCUGCUUAGGUAGUGUAUCAGAUACUGAAAUAUGCUUACGCAUAUUCUUUGUUCUGCUAAUGCAUUAUAAUAAUACUUUUUAUAUAAAACAAUAUGUUUUCUCAAUAAAGUUAUAUUCAUGUGUAUGUGGCCAGGUGCUAUUUUAUACGCUUAGUGCAUGACAUUGUAGCAUAAUGGUGGCAUGUGCAUCAUCUUCAAACGGCGCAGCGUAGUGCGCAUUUCUUUCUAGUAUCUUUGGAAUGGCAAGACAAACCUAUACCCUUUUAGAUGGGCCAAAUGACAUGCAUCUGUAGCUCAUCUCCUGAUGAAGGUGGUCAUCCCAGAGCUUCAGUAUUGUGCGAGCUAUUCUGAGAUACACUGCCACUGGAGUCGCUCAAAUGUAAGUAAUUAUUUUAAACAGUUAUGUUCUACUUGUUUGGUUAUUUGUUUAAACAAGUACUAACUGCCCAUUCACUUUAUAUUUGGGGCUCCCAUGUAAUAUUAUCCCACCUACCAUGGCAAGAGGCUGUCUCAAAUAUAGCAAUGCUCACGCUUCGGCCACUCUUUGUUUUGUGGUGGGAAGAUAAGACCAAGGAUAUGUUCUUCUGUAUUGGCCUGGGGAUCAACCAACUGAUGUUCUAGCUAUUGCUAGCUCACCAUGUCUAAUAGGCAAACACUAAAUGAUUCGUAUCGCCGAUUCAUAAUAUUGAGCUUCUAAAAAUUAUCCCUACAAAGGAUUGUGCAUAUUCAGUCAAUGGUGCUUGCCAUUUCUGAAACCUGCAGGCUACUUUCACUAAAUGGCACAAAAUGCCCCUUUGUGUUAUUUGCUAUAGCUGCAACUGUUGUGAUCGGAGAUGUUUUGCGAUAUAGUUACUACAUGUAUUGAUUCUUCCAUGCUAUAUAUCCCAGCAUGGCACAUCACUCUGUAAGGAUAUAAUGCACCUCCAACAGACUGUAUGUAAUCUAAGCAUGAGAACAUGCUUACUUA